GAUGAACGCUGGCGGCGUGCUUAACACAUGCAAGUCGAACGAAGCACUUUAUUUGAUUUCCUUCGGGACUGAUUAUUUUGUGACUGAGUGGCGGACGGGUGAGUAACGCGUGGGUAACCUGCCUUGUACAGGGGGAUAACAGUUGGAAACGGCUGCUAAUACCGCAUAAGCGCACGGCAUCGCAUGAUGCAGUGUGAAAAACUCCGGUGGUAUAAGAUGGACCCGCGUUGGAUUAGCUAGUUGGUGAGGUAACGGCCCACCAAGGCGACGAUCCAUAGCCGACCUGAGAGGGUGACCGGCCACAUUGGGACUGAGACACGGCCCAAACUCCUACGGGAGGCAGCAGUGGGGAAUAUUGCACAAUGGGCGAAAGCCUGAUGCAGCGACGCCGCGUGGGCGAAGAAGUAUUUCGGUAUGUAAAGCUCUAUCAGCAGGGAAGAUAAUGACGGUACCUGACUAAGAAGCACCGGCUAAAUACGUG
rnacentral:rRNA from 1 species